rnacentral:rRNA from 1 species
AGAGUUUGAUCAUGGCUCAGAAUCAACGCUGGCGGCGUGCCUCAGACAUGCAAGUCGAACGAUUAAGACUCUCUUCGGAGAGUGUAUAAAGUGGCGCACGGGUGAGUAACACGUAGGUAAUGUACCGAAGGGUGGGGAAUAACUUAGGGAAACUUAAGCUAAUACCGCAUAAUGCAGCGGCAUCGUAAGAUGACAGUUGUUAAAGAUUUAUCGCUUGAAGAGGAGCUUGCGGCAGAUUAGCUAGUUGGUAAGGUAAUGGCUUACCAAGGCUACGAUCUGUAACCGGUCUUAGAGGACGGUCGGUCACACUGACACUGAAUAACGGGUCAGACUCCUACGGGAGGCAGCAGUCGGGAAUUUUGGGCAAUGGGCGAAAGCCUGACCCAGCAACGCCGCGUGAAGGAUGAAGUAUUUCGGUAUGUAAACUUCGAAAGAAUAGGAAGAAUAAAUGACGGUACUAUUUAUAAGGUCCGGCUAACUACGUG